rnacentral:piRNA from 1 species
UGGUCACAACUGCCGACUGUUUCUGGCU